rfam:Variovorax sp. JS1663 JS1663_0043, whole genome shotgun sequence.
CAGCGGGUGCGAACCCCUCCCGGCAAAUGUCGCUCCAGCCGGUAGCAAUCGGAGCAAUCGUGGAGGUAACGAAGCGGUUGAAGCCUUCGGUGUCGAGGCUAGAGUCCCCCGAAUGCGA